AGGGGCCAUAGUGAAAGAGGACACAUGGGAUUGUAAGAGCCAGAUUAUGGGGGUGGAGGGUAAAGGCUGAAGCAAGUCCAUCUUGGAUGCUAACUCACUAUGUUAGCUUCUGAUUAACCCCAGUUCCAGGAAGGCUGCUGAAAUUUCCAGUUUAUGUGUUGUUCCUUGUGUAAGAGCAUGGACUUACUGCAAAUCCUGCCCUUAGGGCAAAUUCCUACCUAUUCCUGCGGAAGCAUGUGUAUCAUUCCCCUAUGGUUUAUAACCCCUGAGUCUGGGGGUAAUGGCACGGGGACCCACCAGCUUGUCUGCCGCCAUCUGGGUUUUUUGAGAUGAAGUCUCGUUCUUGUCCCCCAGGCUGGAGUGCAAUGGCAUGAUCUCAGCUCACUGCAACCUCUGCCUCCCGGGUUCAAGCAAUUCUCCUGUCUCAGCCUCCUGAGUAGCUGGAUUACAGAGAAACACAGAGGAGAGACCCAGAGAGAAGGAGAAGGCCGCAUGAAGAUGGAGCAGAGACUGGAGUUAUUCAGCCAAGUCAAGGAAUGCCUGGAGCACCAGAAGCCGGAAGAGGCAAGGAAGGAUCCUCCCUUAGAGCAUUUGGAAGAGUGUGGCCCUGCCAACACCUUGACUUCAAACUUCUGGCCUCCAUAACUAUGAAAUAAAUUCUUGUUGUUUUAAGCCACCAAGUUUGUGGUAACUUCUUACAGCAACCCUAGGAAAUUAACACACAGAGUGUCAGUUACCUAAACAUUGUGAGCCUCA
rnacentral:lncRNA from 1 species